rnacentral:rRNA from 1 species
AUUGAACGCUGGCGGCAUGCCUUACACAUGCAAGCCGAACGGCAGCGGGGGAGAAGCUUGCUUUUCCUGCCGGCGAGUGGCGAACGGGUGAGUAAUACAUCGGAACGUGCCCUGUAGUGGGGGAUAACUAGUCGAAAGAUUAGCUAAUACCGCAUACGACCUGAGGGUGAAAGUGGGGGACCGCAAGGCCUCAUGCUAUAGGAGCGGCCGAUGUCUGAUUAGCUAGUUGGUGGGGUAAAGGCCUACCAAGGCGACGAUCAGUAGCUGGUCUGAGAGGACGAGCAGCGACACUGGGACUGAGACACGGCCAAGACUCCGACGGGAGGCAGCGGUGGGGAAUUUUGGACAAUGGGCGAAAGCCUGAUCCAGCAAUGCCGCGUGUGUGAAGAAGGCCUUCGGGUUGUAAAGCACUUUUGUCCGGAAAGAAAUGGCUCUGGAUAAUACCUGGGGUCGAUGACGGUACCGGAAGAAUAAGGACCGGCUAACUACGUGCCAGCCGCCGCCGUAA